rnacentral:rRNA from 1 species
CAGCAGCCGCGGGAAUACAGAGGGUGCGAGCGUUAAUCGGAUUUACUGGGCGUAAAGCGUGCGUAGGCGGCUUUUUAAGUCGGAUGUGAAAUCCCUGAGCUUAACUUAGGAAUUGCAUUCGAUACUGGGAAGCUAGAGUAUGGGAGAGGAUGGUAGAAUUCCAGGUGUAGCGGUGAAAUGCGUAGAGAUCUGGAGGAAUACCGAUGGCGAAGGCAGCCAUCUGGCCUAAUACUGACGCUGAGGUACGAAAGCAUGGGGAGCAAACAGGAUUAGAUACCCCGGUAGUCCCUGUCUCUUAACA